CCUACGGGGGGCAGCAGUGAGGAAUAUUGGUCAAUGGACGAGAGUCUGAACCAGCCAAGUAGCGUGAAGGAUGACUGCCCUAUGGGUUGUAAACUUCUUUUAUAUGGGAAUAAAAUGUUCCACGUGUGGGAUUUUGUAUGUACCAUAUGAAUAAGGAUCGGCUAACUCCGUGCCAGCAGCCGCGGUAAUACGGAGGAUCCGAGCGUUAUCCGGAUUUAUUGGGUUUAAAGGGAGCGUAGGUGGAUUGUUAAGUCAGUUGUGAAAGUUUGCGGCUCAACCGUAAAAUUGCAGUUGAAACUGGCAGUCUUGAGUACAGUAGAGGUGGGCGGAAUUCGUGGUGUAGCGGUGAAAUGCUUAGAUAUCACGAAGAACUCCGAUUGCGAAGGCAGUUCACUGCACUGCAACUGACACUGAGGCUCGAAAGUGUGGGUAUCAAACAGGAUUAGAUACCCCAGUAGUC
rnacentral:rRNA from 1 species